rnacentral:rRNA from 1 species
UGAAUACGAGACGCUACGGCGUCGAAGCAGUCUAUGUCAUACUUCCAAGAAAAGCUUGCACUGUCAUAAACAAAUAAUGCCUGUACCAUAACCGACACAGGUGGGUAGGUAGAGUAUACUAAGGGGCGCGAGAUAACUCUCUCUAAGGAACUCGGCAAAAUGACUCCGUAACUUCGGGAGAAGGAGUGCCUUAUUUAUAAGGUUGCAAUAACAAGAUCCAAGCAACUGUUUAUCAAAAACACAGGUCUCCGCUAAGUCGUAAGACGAUGUAUGGGGGCUGACGCCUGCCCAGUGCCAGAAGGUUAAAGAAGUUGGUUAGCAUUAGCGAAGCUGAUAACUGAAGCCCUGGUGAACGGCGGCCGUAACUAUAACGGUCCUAAGGUAGCGAAAUUCCUUGUCGGGUAAGUUCCGACCCGCACGAAAGGCGUAAUGAUUUGGAUACUGUCUCAGAGAGGGGCUCGGUGAAAUAGACUUGUCUGUGAAGAUGCGGACUACCUGCACCAGGACAGAAAGACCCUAUGAAGCUUUACUGUAACUUGAAAUUGAAAUUGGACUUUAUUUGCGCAGUAUAGGUGGGAGGCAUUGAUAAUAUUCUUGCGGGAAUGUUGGAGCCAUCAGUGAGAUACCACUCUUGUAAUGUUAGAUUUCUAACUUUGGAUCAUUAUCUGGUCAAAGGACAGUUUCAGGCGGGCAGUUUGACUGGGGCGGUCGCCUCCUAAAUGGUAACGGAGGCGCACAAAGGUUUCCUCUGAACGGGUAGAAAUCGUAUCUAGAGUGUAAAGGCAUAAGGAAGCUUGACUGUGAGACCUACAAGUCGAGCAGGGACGAAAGUCGGUCUUAGUGAUCUGACGGUGCUGAGUGGAAAGGCCGUCACUCAACGGAUAAAAGUUACUCUAGGAUAACAGGCUGAUCUCCCCCAAGAGUUCACAUCGACGGGGAGGUUUGGCACCUCGAUGUCGGCUCAUCGCAUCCUGGGGCGGUAGUACGUCCCAAGGGUUGGGCUGUUCGCCCAUGAAAGCGGUACGCGAGCUGGGUUCAGAACGUCGUGAGACAGUUCGGUCCAUAUCCGGUGUAGGCGUUAGAAUAUUGAGAGGAGCCUUCUUUAGUACGAGAGGACCGAGAAGGACAUACCUCUGGUGUACCAGUUAUCGUGCCAACGGUAAACGCUGGGUAGCUAUGUAUGGAGAGGAUAACCGCUGAAAGCAUCUAAGUGGGAAGCCUACCUCAAGAUAAGUAUUCUCAUC